rnacentral:lncRNA from 10 species
AUGCAGUCUUGGUGGCUCACGCCUGUAACCCCAGCACACUGGGAGGCCAAGAAUUUCUUACCGAGACCUUUGAAAGUAUAUUUCAGACAUCAGGACACUUCAUUCACGUUGUGGUUACACUGUGUCCCAAUAAAAGAAACGUUGACGUCCUGGCCCCUGGUACCUUGAAUGUGACCUUAGUGGUAAAUAGGGUCUUUGCAGAGGUACUCAAAAUGAAGUCAUGCUGGAUUAGAGUGGGCCCUACAUCCAAUAACUGCCAUCCUUAUAAGGGAGAGAGAGAUUUGAAGACACGGAGAGACACACAGGGAAAAAGGCUACCUGACUGUGGAGACAGAGAUUGAAGUUUAUGUUGUCACCAACCAAGGAACGCCAAGGAUUGCCAGUAACUACCAGAGGCUGGAAGAGGCAAGGAAGACUCCUCCCUAGUCCUUCAGGCAGAGCAUGGCCCCACGAGCCCUUGAUUUUGGACUUGAAUUGUGACAGACCAAAUUUCUGUGUUGCAAACUAUCCUGCUUGUGGCAAUUUAUUACCGUAGCCCUAGGAAACUAAUACAACUCCUCAAUACAGGUGUUACCUAAAUGUGGGCAUUUAAUGGGACUCACGUAUUCUCCCCAUAACCAAUAUCAUUAGCACACCUAAGAAAAUUAACAAUAAUUUUAUGAUAUCCAAUCCAUACUCAAAUAUAUCCAAUUGUUCUCAAAAUAUCUUUUAUAGAUUUUUUUUUCCUUUUUUUUUGAUCCAGGAUCCAAUCAAAGUAUCUUACACGCAUUUGAUUAUUAUGUCUCUCUAAUUUUUUUAUUCUAAAAGAAUUCAUCUUAAAAAAUGACUUCUUGAUGUGUCCAG